CUGAAUGGGGGAACCCACCUUCGAUAACUGGAACUUCGAGGCCGGAAGGCUUCGGAUUGCACUUGUGUAUUCCGAGACGGUUUUCCGGCUUGGGAAUUCUAGUUAUCAUAUGAAGGUAUCUGAUCCUGAAUACAUAGGGAUUAAGAAGCAAACCCGGUGAACUGAAACAUCUAAGUAGCCGGAGGAAAGGACAUCAACCGAGACUCCGUUAGUAGCGGCGAGCGAACGCGGACUAGGCCAGCGCCUUUGUUGAGACAAGUGGAACCAUCUGGAAAGUUGGGCCUUAGUGGGUGAUAGCCCCGUACACGUAAUGCAAAACAAAGGACUUGAGUAGGGCGGGACACGUGAAAUCCUGUUCGAACAUGGGGGGACCACCCUCCAAGCCUAAGUACUCCUUACUGACCGA
rnacentral:rRNA from 1 species